rnacentral:rRNA from 1 species
CAGCAGCCGCGGUAAUACGUAGGUGGCGAGCGUUGUCCGGAAUUAUUGGGCGUAAAGGGAGCGCAGGCGGACAUAUAAGUCCAUCUUAAAAGUGCGGGGCUCAACCCCGUGAGGGGAUGGAAACUGUAUGCCUUGAGUGCAGGAGAGGAAAGCGGAAUUCCCAGUGUAGCGGUGAAAUGCGUAGAUAUUGGGAGGAACACCAGUGGCGAAGGCGGCUUUCUGGACUGUAACUGACGCUGAGGCUCGAAAGCCAGGGGAGCGAACGGGAUUAAAUACCCCUGUAGUCCCUGUCUCUUAUACA